rnacentral:rRNA from 1 species
CCAAUAGCGUAUAUUAAAGUUGUUGCAGUUAAAAAGCUCGUAGUUGAAUUUCAGGCCUGGCUGGACGGUCCGCCCUUCGGGUGAGUACUGUCUGUGGUCGGGUCCUACCUUCUGGCGAAGCGUCAUGGCCUUAACCGGCCGUGGCGGGGAACCAGGACUUUUACUGUGAAAAAAUUAGAGUGUUCAAAGCAGGCAAUCGCUUGGAUACAUUAGCAUGGAAUAAUGGAAUAGGACAAUGGUUCUAUUUGUUGGUUUCUAGGACCGUUGUAAUGAUUAAUAGGGAUAGUUGGGGGCAUUAGUAUUCAAUUGUCAGAGGUGAAAUUCUUGGAUUUAUUGAAGACUAACUAUUGCGAAAGCAUUUGCCAAGGAUGUUUUCAUUAAUCAAGAACGAAAGUUAGGGGAUCGAAGACGAUCAGAUACCGUCGUAGUCUUAACCAUAAACUAUGCCGACUAGGAAUCGGGCGACGUUAUUUUCAUGACUCGCUCGGCGCCUUAUG